AACGAACGCUGGCGGCAUGCCUAACACAUGCGAGUCGAACGAGACCUUCGGGUCUAGUGGCGCACGGGUGCGUAACGCGUGGGAACCUGCCCUUAGGUUCGGAAUAACUCCCCGAAAGGGGUGCUAAUACCGGAUAAUGUCUUCGGACCAAAGAUUUAUCGCCUUUGGAUGGGCCCGCGUUGGAUUAGCUAGUUGGUAGGGUAAAAGCCUACCAAGGCGACGAUCCAUAGCUGGUCUGAGAGGAUGAUCAGCCACACUGGGACUGAGACUCGGCCCAGACUCCUACGGGAGGCAGCAGUGGGGAAUAUUGGACAAUGGGCGAAAGCCUGAUCCAGCAAUGCCGCGUGAGUGAUGAAGGCCUUAGGGUUGUAAAGCUCUUUUACCCGGGAUGAUAAUGACAGUACCGGGAGAAUAAGCUCCGGCUAACUCCGUG
rnacentral:rRNA from 1 species